GUAACGCACGACUUUGGAUUGUUUUCUAUCAUCACUGAUCAUGGUAACCAGGAGGUCGUUACCCGCGGUACAGCAGACACGGCGAGGUCUCCACCCCUGUAGUCUGAUCACGGAAUCCUAAUUUUGGGAUGAAUGUCUCCUGAGUGUUACGUGACAAAACUCUCACCCUACAUACCAGUACACAAAGAACGGGAGAAACCUCUAACAUUAUAGAAUCAUUGAAAUAAAGAAUAAUUCCCAGACUAGAUGAAUACUUUUGUAUCAACGUCAUAUUUUGUUAUUAUCCAGCUGAUCACGUGGCCGCAGCGGUCAGAGUUGAUUCAUGACAGGGAGUCGUGAGUUCGAACUUUUCUCCUGUUGUGGUCAGGUCAAACCUAAGACGUUAACAUAGGUAGUGAUUGCUCUUUCACCAAACGCUUGGCAUUUACAAAUGAAAUUGAUGAGGGAUUUCAGUUAUGACCUUAAUAACGGAGGUCGUGUUAGGCGUUGACAUAUUAUCUAGGUCUUUAAUGAACCUCAUAUCUAUAAUUUAUAAUUUUCAUUGUAAUUAAUAUGAUUUAGGUCGGCUGUAUAUAUGUUUACAUGUAGUGUAGAAAUAUCACAAAGUGUACAUUUAACAACUUGCUGUGGUUAUCAGUUAAUGUAAGAUUGAAUUAAAAUGCGGAAGUG